UACGUAGGGUGCGAGCGUUGUCCGGAAUUAUUGGGCGUAAAGAGCUUGUAGGCGGUUUGUCGCGUCUGCUGUGAAAAUCCGGGGCUCAACCCCGGACUUGCAGUGGGUACGGGCAGACUGGAGUGUGGUAGGGGAGACUGGAAUUCCUGGUGUAGCGGUGGAAUGCGCAGAUAUCAGGAGGAACACCGAUGGCGAAGGCAGGUCUCUGGGCCACUACUGACGCUGAGACGCGAAAGCGUGGGGAGCAAACAGG
rnacentral:rRNA from 1 species